CAAUCACGAUACACGUCAAUAGAACUGCUGUGUAUAGUUACCCACAGUAAGCUUGGACUUGCAUCAGCCACCCAACAGCACCUCCUGCACCAGUGUGUUAGCUUUUAUGGUAUAAGCUGCCUCUGGGAUGGACCCCAACGUAGGAGAGACACCCGCACCGAUAGAAGAAAGUAUUUGGAAUAAGACUCCCAUUUUGAGUCAUGGUGUCCGGUGAAGUUUAAGUUCUCAAGACUUCCCUGAAAACUGACAUCCUACUUGGCAGAAAGAGACAUGGACGUGGGUAACUGACAUCCUGGUUGGAGAGUUAAGACAUGAAUGUUAGACAAGUCCCAUCCUGGUAGACAAGUUAGGACGUGACUACUAGACAAGAUCCCUUGAUAAGCCUGUCAGCUGUUGCAGAGUCCUCUACAUCCCAGCUCCUGUCUGUCCACAGUCCAUGCCCCAGCCUCCACUUCACCACUGAGUGCUCAUGGAAGUGGGCAGAGCCCUGUUUUGGAUAUACCCUGGGAUACCCCAGAACCCCUCUGCUUUCACUGAAGUCAUCAGUCGUUGAACAGACAUCUCAGGAAAAAAGAGCUCAAGCGUUUGGGGAGACAAUCUUAGUAGGAAUAAAGAUCUUUUUCUCUUUUCUCU